rnacentral:tRNA from 1 species
GUCGGGGUGGCGGAAUGGCAGACGCGCUGGAUUUAGGAUCCAGUCCCGCCAUAGCGGGAUGAGAGUUCAAGUCUCUCCCCCGACA